GAUGCCGAGCGCGGGCGGGGUGGCGGAGCCGGGAACCACGGUGUCGGCGGGGGAAGGGGGGACCGCGGGUUUAACUUUAAUAGUUCUUCAGGCUAUUCUUUAAGAAUAGCUAAUUCUUUAGCUAUUUCAGAGCUAUUUUAGGAUACUUCAACAUAUUUUAAGGUCAGUCAGAGGGGACGCCCUGUGAAAAUGUAGAGUUUUAGGACUGCAGAGGUAGGCUUUGGUAAGGGGCCGGUUGUGGUGCCGUGGGUUGGGUCCCAUGCUGCUGAUCCAAAGGUGAUUUUCCAGGUCCGGUGAAGUUGCUGAGGUUAGACUCAUGAAUAGACGCUGGAGGUUUGGUCUGAGGAAAAUCCUGCACUAGAAAACUCACGACACAAUUUUGGUGAUGUUGAUUUGUCAGAAGUGUUUAUAACAUCGAGGGCAGCCCGAGUUCGAGGUGGGGAGGGCUAGAGUCCAGAAGGAACCCUGCGCCGUUCAUAAUUCUAGGAGGCAGAAGCCCGCUCCCAGCCACUGGGCCCCUGGACUCAAAUGGCAGCCCUUUUAAAAUGUAAAAAAACCCUCCUCUCGCCCUCCCUCCCCGACUGUCAGUUUGUCAGAGGCGUUUGGCAGUCCAAGGGCAGCCUGAGUUCUGGAUGGAGGCAGCUCGGGUCCGGGAGGAAUCCUGCUCCGUUUGUAAUUUUGGGACGCAGAAACCCGCUCGCGGCCGCCCGGCCGCUGGACGUGAAUGGCACCCCUUUUCCGUGGGAAAGAAAACUCACCUCUGCAGGUUCCUGAUGUCGGUUUGUCAGAGACGUUUGGCACUCCAAGGGCAGCCCGAGUUGUAGCUGGGGGUGGCUUGGGUCUGGGAGGAAUCCUGCUCCAUUCGUAAUUUUCCUAACCCUCUAACCUUAACCCUGAACCCUAAUCUUAACCCUAACUCUAACCUUAACCUUAAACCAACGUGGGUAGAAAGAAAAUCAUUAAAAUUUUAAAAUAUAUUCUCAGUGUAUGUAUCAGAAGUUUUCCUUCUUGUAGAAUUCUACAAAACCCAGAAUGCACUGGCCUCAUCAGAGAUGUCAUCCUAUGGCAUGCCCAGAAAAACUGGAUUAAUGGGACCGAAUCCUGGCGGCAAGCACUGAAACCGAUAUCACUUCUCAAGUCCCACUGCUGGGCUCAACCUCACUGAAGGAUGACGGGAGGGAGUACACAGUGCUUCAUCUUUCACUGUCAGCCCUCAAAACCACUUUCACAAAAGAAGGAAAAAAGCACGUAUCCUGUUUCUAGAUGGCUCCUGUGGGUUUGGACACUAUCUGUUAUUAACAUAAAAGUCAGGAAACAAAAUCAUGACAUCUUUUAGGUCAGAAAAAACCUUUAUGACCAUCAAGUCCAACCAUUAACCCGGGAUUGCCAAGGCCACCGCUAAUCCUUGUCCUCGAGUGCCACGUGCACCCAUUUUUUCAAUCCCUCCAAGGAUGGUUACUCCACCAGUGCCCUGGGCAGCCUGUUCCAAUGAUGGACAGCCCUUUUGGUGAAGAAAUUUUCCCUAGUAUCUCAUGUAAACCUCCCCUGGUGCAACUUGAGGCCAUUUCCUCUCAUCCUGCUGCUUUACUUGGUAGAAGAGAGAAUCAUUUAGGUUAGAAAAGACUUUUGACAUCCUUGAGUCCAAUGUCAGGAUCUUUCACUGGUCUCCAGGGUAUGGUGUGAUGCUUUUCAUUUUCAGGUGAAUGAAAUAAGAUCCCUGAGGCAAAGCUGUGCUCCCUGCAUAUCAGACAUACCAAAAUACUUCCGUACAGCAGCCUUUUGAUAUGUCUGACACCCAGACUCAUGCUGGGCCUGCCUAAGUGUCAUCCUUGAGAAAGCUUUCGUCCCUUUAAACAUUCAUGUGCCCUUUCUUCUUCUCAUGUAUUUUUACUACUAACAGGUUUCCCAGCUGAUAACACAGCAAUGAGUACAUUAUUCAGCCUGGAUUGCUGACUUGACUGCUGGCAGUCUCCAUUACAGCAACAUCUUCCAACACUUACGGUUUCUUCUCUGACUCUUCAGGAUCUCCUUCCAUGGACUGGCAGAACAUCAGCAGUGUUUUCCAGCAGCUGGGGCUGAGAGCAGGAGGGUGCCCAGCACUGGUCUGGCACUGGAGCCACAUCCCACUGUUUGUCCAGCGAA